AGAACAUCCCCUGCAAGUCCAACCUCAAGAAGACGGCCUCGCUCCUCUCCACCUUCAUGUAAUAGUUGCCCAAUUUCUGUCAAAGGGACUAAAUUUUCUAAUACAACUUUGGCAAACAUGCGGCCAAGAAAUUCUGCUGCUUUUGGGGCAUCAUUAACAGCAUCCUCCAAAGAGGUGAGAACUGACUCAAACCCUUUGAUGAGCUGGGGUGGAGUUAAUAUGCCAUCUUGAGACCUUGCAAGAUUGACAAGAAGUUUAGCCAAAAGAUCUCUCUCCAUGUCCUUCCUCUCAAAUGAAUCCGUCACCCAGAGAGAGAUCAUUGAAGGAUGGAAACUUGACGAAUUCAAUUCCUUGAUGCACAAAGCAACUUCUUUCUCGUCUCUGACACUGUAAAAUUCUUUAAUUGCUGCCAUUGACUUGUCUCGUAGUUUUUCUUCAGGCCACACCUUUUCUGAUGGAAUAUUUUGGGUGACAGCUGGUACCUGAGCUGUUGCAGGUGGAGAUGUUGCAUGAGGUCUAUCAAAACUGCGAUCUUGAUUCCUAGUAUCCCUAUUGACAUAACUCAUAUUUCGUUC
rnacentral:misc_RNA from 1 species